UACGUAGGGACCGAGCGUUGUCCGGAAUCAUUGGGCGUAAAGAGCGUGUAGGCGGCUAUUUAAGUCCUGCGUGAAAUCCUGCGGCUCAACCGCAGACGGUCGUGGGAAACUGGAUGGCUAGAGUGCGGGAGAGGAGAGUGGAAUUCCCGGUGUAGCGGUGAAAUGCGCAGAUAUCGCGAAGAACACCCGUGGCGAAGGCGGCUCUCUGGAACGCAACUGACGCUGAGACGCGAAAGCGUGGGGAGCAAACAGG
rnacentral:rRNA from 1 species